UACGAAGGGGGCUAGCGUUGCUCGGAAUCACUGGGCGUAAAGGGUGCGUAGGCGGGUCUUUAAGUCAGGGGUGAAAUCCCGGAGCUCAACUCCAGAACUGCCUUUGAUACUGAGGAUCUUGAGUUCGGGAGAGGUGAGUGGAACUGCGAGUGUAGAGGUGAAAUUCGUAGAUAUUCGCAAGAACACCAGUGGCGAAGGCGGCUCACUGGCCCGAUACUGACGCUGAGGCACGAAAGCGUGGGGAGCAAACAGG
rnacentral:rRNA from 1 species